rnacentral:lncRNA from 1 species
GGGUGGGAGAGUUUGAUAGGUCUCCCACCGUGAGCAAGUUUAAUGUAUGGUUAGAUUGUGAGGUUCCACAAAUAUUAUGAUGCACCACCAUCAAUUUAUACAUUCCCUUUCUCUCUCCCCUAGCUUUCUCUCUUCUUGCUACUGAGUUCCUUUCCUGUUUCCUGUGUUUUCUUCUACCAUUCCCCAACUACUUUUCCAAAUUUAUCCCAUUCUCGCUUUCUUUGAUUUAUCUUUCAACCUUCUCAGUUUCUUCUUAAAAUCCAUUCCCCAAUCUCAACUUUUCAUUCCUCUCUUUCAUCAAUUUUAAGAACUCUAAUCCCAAUUUCAAGUUCAAUUUUCUCUUCCCAUAGACUUAAAUCACUCAUUUUGGAAAUUUUCUCUUUAUAACCCAUCUGGGUUUUGUAAUUCAC